GGAUGAAAAGCCAUGAUUGUCAUGCCUUUAUGAAGAGAUUAUUAAUAAUAGUAUUUAGAGAAUUGCUUCCACAAAAUUUGUUGUAGGCAUUAACUGAACUGAGCAAUUUCUUCAGAGAAUUAACUUCAACAACACUCCGAGAAAAAGACAAGUUAUGGCUUAAUGAAGAGAUUCCUUUGAUAUUAUAUAAACUAGAGCAUAUAUUCCCUCCAAGCUUC
rnacentral:misc_RNA from 1 species